AUUGAACGCUGGCGGCAGGCCUAACACAUGCAAGUCGAGCGCGCGGCGGACGGGUGCGUAAUGUCUGGGUAACUGCCAGAUGGAGGGGGAUAACUACUGGAAACGGUAGCUAAUCCCGCAUACUAUCUGAUGAACCCAUAUGGGAUUAGCUAGUAGGUGGGGGAAUGGCUCACCUAGGCGACGAUCCCUAGCUGGUCUGAGAGGAUGACAAGCCAAACUGGAACGGAGACAAGGCCCAGACGCCUACGGGAGGCAGCAGGGGGGAAUAUUGCACAAUGGGCGCAAGCCAGAUGCAGCCAUGCCGCGUGUAUGAAGAAGGCCUUAGGGUUGUAAAGCACUUUCAGUGAGGAGGCGUUACUCGCAGAAGAAGCACCGGCUAACUCCGUGCCAGCAGCGGCGGUAAUAC
rnacentral:rRNA from 1 species